rnacentral:tRNA from 1 species
GGGGAUUUGGUCUAGGGGAAUGACAUUCGUUUUGCAUUGUCUCAAAUGCAAAAUUUACGAAAGGUCGGGGGUUCAAUUCCCCCAAUCUCCA